CGCGGGGUGGAGCAGUCUGGUCAGCUCGCGUGGCUCAUAACCACGAGGUCGUUGGUUCAAAUCCAACCCCCGCCACCA
rnacentral:tRNA from 1 species